rnacentral:rRNA from 1 species
UACGGAGGGGGCUAGCGUUGUUCGGAAUUACUGGGCGUAAAGCGCACGUAGGCGGCUUUGUAAGUUAGAGGUGAAAGCCCAGGGCUCAACCCUGGAAUUGCCUUUAAGACUGCAUCGCUUGAACAUCGGAGAGGUAAGUGGAAUUCCGAGUGUAGAGGUGAAAUUCGUAGAUAUUCGGAAGAAUACCAGUGGCGAAGGCGACUUACUGGACGAUUGUUGACGCUGAGGUGCGAAAGCGUGGGGAGCAAACAGG